rnacentral:rRNA from 1 species
AGUCGUAACAAGGUAACCGUAGGUGAACCUGCGGUUGGAUCAUUACUAAAUGAUUACUCUACUCGGUUGUUGGUCUUCGGAUCACCUGGGUAGGGUAUAAACCUUUUGUGCACUGUAACUGUAUUUUUCGGUGGAACUUGCAAGUGGUCGAACGCAGUAUGCCUUCCACUUACCAAGGCCCACCGUACCUUUAAACCCCUUUAAAUUUGGCUGAGAAGUAAAUUGUUAAUAGCAAACAACUUUUGACAACGGAUCUCUUGGCUCUCGCAACGAUGAAGAACGCAGCGAAAUGCGAUACGUAAUGUGAAUUGCAGAAUUCCGUGAAUCAUCGAAUCUUUGAACGCACAUUGCACUUACCUUCGGGUGAGUAUGCCUGUUUGAGAAUCUAUAGUAUUCUUUUUGACUCUCGGGUCAAACGAUUUGAGGCUUCUCUCUAGCAAUAGAGGGUGCCUUUAAAACUAUAGCCGGGCUAGUGAUGAGAAUCCUUGACCGCCGAAAAGUGUUUGAAUGAAACCGUGGUUUCUUAUAGACGCAGAGUAGGGGGACUUGGGCCCAUUCUAAUCUACUGGAACGGUUCAUAACCAUAAAGACAGCUCUCGGGCUGGCUUGAACCAUGGUCUCAAAUCAGGUAGGAAGACCCGCUGAACUUAAGCAUAUCAAUAAGCGGAGGAAAAGAAACUAACAAGGAUUCCCCUAGUAACGGCGAGUGAAGCGGGAACAGCUCAAAUUUGAAAUCCCACUGUUUUGCAGUGCGAAUUGUAGUUUAGAGAAGCGUUUUCGGUGGCGGCUUUGAGUACAAGUUCAUUGGAACAUGACAUCACAGAGGGUGAAAAUCCCGUCUUUGACUCAAGGUCCGUUGCCAUAUGAUACGUUUUCCAAGAGUCGGUUUGUUUGGGAAUGCAGACCAAAAUGGGUGGUAAAUACCAUCUAAAGCUAAAUAUUGGCGAGAGACCGAUAGCGAACAAGUACCGUGAGGGAAAGAUGAAAAGAACUUUGAAAAGAGAGUUAAACAGUACGUGAAAUUGUCAAAAGGGAAACGCUUGAAACCAGUAUUGCCGGCAGGAAUUCAGCUAUGGUUUACCAUGGUGUAUUUUUCUGUCGGCGAGUCAACAUCAGUUUGACUUGGAGUAAAAAGCCAUGGGAAGGUAGCCUUCGGGUGUUAUAGCCUGUGGUCAUGCUCUGGGUUGGACUGAGGACUGCAGCGUUUUUUGGGGAACCUGUCGCCUUCUGAAAUAGCGAGAGUAAAUGCAUGCAGAUGCUUUCGUAUACCAGGGAGCCCGGCGGGUGUACCACACCAGCGCUUAGGAUGUUGACGAAAUGGUUUUAAACGACC